rnacentral:rRNA from 1 species
UUGCUGUCACUUAUAGAUGGAUCCGCGCUGCAUUAGCUAGUUGGUAAGGUAACGGCUUACCAAGGCAACGAUGCAUAGCCGACCUGAGAGGGUGAUCGGCCACACUGGAACUGAGACACGGUCCAGACUCCUACGGGAGGCAGCAGUAGGGAAUCUUCCGCAAUGGGCGAAAGCCUGACGGAGCAACGCCGCGUGAGUGAUGAAGGUCUUCGGAUCGUAAAACUCUGUUAUUAGGGAAGAACAUAUGUGUAAGUAACUGUGCACAUCUUGACGGUACCUAAUCAGAAAGCCACGGCUAACUACGUGCCAGCAGCCGCGGUAAUACGUAGGUGGCAAGCGUUAUCCGGAAUUAUUGGGCGUAAAGCGCGCGUAGGCGGUUUUUUAAGUCUGAUGUGAAAGCCCACGGCUCAACCGUGGAGGGUCAUUGGAAACUGGAAAACUUGAGUGCAGAAGAGGAAAGUGGAAUUCCAUGUGUAGCGGUGAAAUGCGCAGAGAUAUGGAGGAACACCAGUGGCGAAGGCGACUUUCUGGUCUGUAACUGACGCUGAUGUGCGAAAGCGUGGGGAUCAAACAGGAUUAGAUACCCUGGUAGUCCACGCCGUAAACGAUGAGUGCUAAGUGUUAGGGGGUUUCCGCCCCUUAGUGCUGCAGCUAACGCAUUAAGCACUCCGCCUGGGGAGUACGACCGCAAGGUUGAAACUCAAAGGAAUUGACGGGGACCCGCACAAGCGGUGGAGCAUGUGGUUUAAUUCGAAGCAACGCGAAGAACCUUACCAAAUCUUGACAUCCUUUGACAACUCUAGAGAUAGAGCCUUCCCCUUCGGGGGACAAAGUGACAGGUGGUGCAUGGUUGUCGUCAGCUCGUGUCGUGAGAUGUUGGGUUAAGUCCCGCAACGAGCGCAACCCUUAAGCUUAGUUGCCAUCAUUAAGUUGGGCACUCUAAGUUGACUGCCGGUGACAAACCGGAGGAAGGUGGGGAUGACGUCAAAUCAUCAUGCCCCUUAUGAUUUGGGCUACACACGUGCUACAAUGGACAAUACAAAGGGCAGCGAAACCGCGAGGUCAAGCAAAUCCCAUAAAGUUGUUCUCAGUUCGGAUUGUAGUCUGCAACUCGACUACAUGAAGCUGGAAUCGCUAGUAAUCGUAGAUCAGCAUGCUACGGUGAAUACGUUCCCGGGUCUUGUACACACCGCCCGUCACACCACGAGAGUUUGUAACACCCGAAGCCGGUGGAGUAACCUUUUAGGAGCUAGCCGUCGAAGGUGGGACAAAUGAUUGGGGUGAAGUCGUAACAAGGUAGCCGUAUCGGAAGGUGCGGCUGGAUCACCUCCUUU